rnacentral:rRNA from 1 species
UCGACGGUACAGGUCUUCGGAUGCUGACGAGUGGCGAACGGGUGAGUAAUACAUCGGAACGUGCCUAGUAGUGGGGGAUAACUACUCGAAAGAGUGGCUAAUACCGCAUGAGAUCUACGGAUGAAAGCAGGGGAUCGCAAGACCUUGUGCUACUAGAGCGGCCGAUGGCAGAUUAGGUAGUUGGUGGGAUAAAAGCUUACCAAGCCGACGAUCUGUAGCUGGUCUGAGAGGACGAUCAGCCACACUGGGACUGAGACACGGCCCAGACUCCUACGGGAGGCAGCAGUGGGGAAUUUUGGACAAUGGGCGCAAGCCUGAUCCAGCAAUGCCGCGUGCAGGAUGAAGGCCUUCGGGUUGUAAACUGCUUUUGUACGGAACGAAAAGCCCUGGGUUAAUACCCUGGGGUCAUGACGGUACCGUAAGAAUAAGCACCGGCUAACUACGUGCCAGCAGCCGCGGUAAUACGUAGGGUGCGAGCGUUAAUCGGAAUUACUGGGCGUAAAGCGUGCGCAGGCGGUUUUGUAAGACAGAGGUGAAAUCCCCGGGCUCAACCUGGGAACUGCCUUUGUGACUGCAAGGCUAGAGUACGGCAGAGGGGGAUGGAAUUCCGCGUGUAGCAGUGAAAUGCGUAGAUAUGCGGAGGAACACCGAUGGCGAAGGCAA